AUUGAACGCUGGCGGCAGGCUUAACACAUGCAAGUCGAGCGAGCGGCGGACGGGUGAGUAAUGUCUGGGAAACUGCCUGAUGGAGGGGGAUAACUACUGGAAAAGGUAGCUAAUACCGCAUACCCUCAGAUGUGCCCAGAUGGGAUUAGCUAGUAGGGGGGGUAAUGGCUCACCUAGGCGACGAUCCCUAGCUGGUCUGAGAGGAUGACCAUCCAAACUGGAACUGAGACACGGUCCAGACUCCAAGGGGAGGAAGAAGUGGGGAAUAUUGCACAAUGGGCGAAAGCCUGAUGCAGCCAUGCCGCGGGUGUGAAGAAGGCCUUCGGGUUGUAAAGUACUUUCAGCGAGGAGGCGUUACUCGCAGAAGAAGCACCGGCUAACUCCGUGCCAGCAGCCGCGGUAAUUC
rnacentral:rRNA from 1 species